CCCACAUUAAAAUCGAAUUUACUGAUUCUGUAUCUUAUUUCAUGCUUUAAGAGUUUAUUUUUCAACUUACAUUUUUAAGCAGUGAUGAAUGAUAACUAUGUGAGUUGCUAAAUUGUAUUUUGCAAUAAUAAUAUAUAAACUAUAUAAUGAUGACAAAAUUACAACAGUUAUUGUUUUCAUAAUAUUUACUAUUGACAAUACAAAAUAUAGACAUACAAAAAAAAGCUGCCAAGACGAAUGACAACGCGGUCUCGCGUUGUCAAAAUAGAUGACGCAAAUCCUUCAUUUUCCACACUUCAACAGCUGAAAAACACCCACUUUUAGCUCUUAGUUUGUUCUAAUGGGCGGAUUGUGUGCAAUCGCUGUAAUAUUUUAUUUUUAAAAGGUCUUAAACAGGAAUAAAUUCGUUUGUUGUGAGCUCGCUGUGCGACUGCACGAGAAGCCGCGCCGUCUCGCACUGUCAAAAGAGCUGACGCAAAUCCUUCAUUUUCCACACUUCAACAGCUGAAAAACACCCACUUUUAGCUCUUGGUUUGUUCUAAUGGGUGGAUUGUGUGCAAUCGCUGUAAUAUUUUAUUUUUAAAAGGUCUUAAACAAGAAUAAAUUCGUUUCUUGCGAGCUCGUUGUGUCACUGCACGAGAAGCCGCGCCGUCUCGCGCUGUCAAAAGAGCUGACGCAAAUCCUUCAUUUUCCACACUUCAACAGCUGAAAAACACCCACUUUUAGCUCUUGGUUUGUUCUAAUGGGUGGAUUGUGUGCAAUCGCUAUAAUAUUUUAUUUUUAAAGGCCUUAAACAAGAAUAAAUUUGCUUCUUGUGAGCUCGUAGUGCGAGUGCAGGAGAAGCCGCGAGGGCUCGCGCUGUCAAAAGAGCUGACGCAAAUCGUUCAUUUUCAAACUUCAACAGCUGAAAAACACCCUC
ensembl:lncRNA